rnacentral:misc_RNA from 1 species
AACCAAAUGACUGGUAAAAACAAAGAAAAGUAGACCGUAAAACAGAGCAAAUGAACAGGAUAAAUCAUAAAGCACAUAGCCUCCAAAAAUAUUACAGAUGCCAAUUGAUGCAGAUGAGGACAAGAUGUCAAUGAUUUGUUCUUUUCAAUUUAAUUCAUAAUUAUGAAAAAUUUAUGAUUGAGGAGGCUAGUAGAAAGAUAAUUUGGGAUUUUCUCACCAAUUUUUCUAUUUGUAAGUUUAACUUGUUUCACAAAAGUUGUUUUGCUACUUGGAAUCUAUCAGCAUUUACCAGAAUCUAAGCAAGUAGGACUCUGACCCUAAUUUUGUCUACUAUCAUUCCUUUCCCCUCCUUACAUUUCUUGUCAAAUUGCUUUAGUAUGGGAUUAUGGAUUCUACAUCAUAAAUAAUUGACAAUAAUGCAACCAAAGCAGUUAGUUUGCAGCAAAUACUUCAGCACAUGCCGACACCUCAUCACCAUUCCUAGUCUUGUGGUUGUGGCAGAACAUGUAAUCAUAACAUAUACAUAUGCUGAAAAGGACAACAAACAAACUAGCAGAAUUUUCCCCACACAAUUUCAGUAUUACUUUCAACCAACUUUACAUCGACCAAAAUAAUAUAAAGAUGUAAAUGUUAGUUAUGGAGUUAAUAAGCACACAUGAUCAGUAAUUUCAUCGCAUGCAACUCAACCCAAAAGUGGCAACACACAAACUAUCAGCAUUUGCUCAAGGUCCAUGUACAGAGAAAACCUAGAUUCCAAAUUUUCAGGUGUAGGGUUUGCUAUUGUGGAAAAAAUUCAAAACUAACUGCUGAAUUUAUCAAACCAUGAGAUCUAUUAGCUCAUCCCUAGGGCCAUAUAUCUCUGUCUCGGCAUAACUUAUCCAAGGGAUCUAACUACAGCACCAUCAUUCUUAUACCGUCACAAUGGACAACCAAAUUGCCAAGGCCAUCUAUUCAAGAAUCAUCACCUCCACUGGAUAUAAAAAUGCACACUUCAAAAGAAUUAACCAAGCCAAUUAGAGUCUUCAAAGAUCCCCACUCCUCAAUCUUUUCAUACAAAAAGCAAGGUGAAAUUUAAAUCUUUCAAGGAUUUUUCAUUAUAACAUUUCAGAAUGUUCAUUCAUAAACAUUUUAUCACAAUCAAGUUCUACAAAACCUUCAUUCAUCCUAUAUCAACAACAUGCCAGCUAACUCAA